AUUGUCUUCCUCUUCUUCUUCUUUUUUUUUUCCCUGUUGCAAAUAUUUUGUUUGUUGUACAUUGCUAACAUCAGGAAAUGGAACAAUCAAGAAUCUCGAGCAAGGGGCCAAGCCUUAUCUUCCUGGAGGCUCUUUAAUUUAUUUUGAGUUGUUUGUCAUUUAGAAAUGUAAGGGAAAAAGAUAUGGAAAGUUAUGUCUUUUGGGGGCAUGUAAUAUUUAAUGUGGUGCCGUUGUUGUCUUUUCUCUCUAGGAUUAUCUAGAUGCUGAUGCAAGAGCUGAAGAGAAUAAAGACAUCAAGUAGUUUGAUAGUCUUGACAAGGUGCUCUUGAAAAGAGUGAGAUAAUGCCUCCCGGUAGAUACUGCAUUUUCCGCCAUGCCAAUUUCUUUUGAAAGCUCUCACUCUAAACCAUUCCAUCUUGGAUUGCCUUCACCUUAAAAGCUUGAAUGCAACAACUGACCCAGAUAAGAAGGCAAGAGCCACUUUGCAAUCUUAGUAAAUUCUAAUACUUCCAAUCCAAAUUCACCUUAAGUCUUGAUACAGCAAGGAAAGAAAAGCAGGACAUGCAUGAGAUCCCCUCUUUGUCCUUAAGAGACAUUGUAUCAUCUGGGAACAACAGUUACACUGCCAUCUGGGAUGAUUCAGUCUGCCCUGUUUUAUUGAGUAACAUCCUGCUUUAUUCCAUUUUCUGACUAUAUUUGUUUAUUGUUUCCAAUUUUAUCAGGCAGUUUUGGUAACAGUUGCUAGGGUUAAGUCCAAAAAAAUGACACCACCGGGGAGAAGUUAAGUGUUUCUAUCUCGUGGAGUGAUUAACAGGUUGUCUAAAAUUUUUAUUUCCAUGAGUCUUAUGCCAGGUCAUUUCAACUUCAUAAUGUUUUCAAAUUUGAAAAUGACAGUGGAGCAGAAGACAUGACAAAAUUAAUAGAUCAAAAGCUCAGUUUCCCUAACACUUAAGGCAUGGAUAUUUUCUUCUACUAGGGAAAGGGUUGUGCUCGGUUGAGGAAGAACUUGUUUAUUUACGCCAUCCACCAGGAAACAUGAUUACUGCAAACCAGUGAUGGAACUCGGUUGUGCAAGUAGAUGAUGCUUAACUGCUAAGGGAAUUUUUGGCGCUAUACUGACUGUAAGAUGUUUUGCUCAGGUGAAGCAUGAGAUUUCACGCUCUUACGAGAAAAUUGCUGAGCGAUUAAAGCUUAUUCUUAAAGAGGUUGUGAGUUCCAUUAUGCAUUACUCUUCGUCUCUUCCCCCUUCUUAGAGCAAUAUAUUUUUAGGCCGAAUAGACUAUUUAAUCCUGAGCUUAGGGUCAUUUUUGAAUUUUAUCCAGUUCUGACAUUUAGUUCAAUUUGGUCAUCAAAUUUAAACUUUGAUUUCAAUUUUAUCACCAAGCGGACAGGCGUGUGCCCCAGCAUACGUGGCGCUUAGGUGACGUGCUGAUGUGUCCAUUGUUGGAGACAUUAGCACAAGAAACCCAUCAUCUUCAUCCCUCAUGCCACUAGGUUUUACAUCCUAAAGAGUUGCCGUCGCCUUCCUUCAUCGCGGUCGCCUUUUUGUUCUCUCAUCGAGGGGUCACGCGAAGCCUUAACCCUCUGGUCACGCCACGCGAGCCAUGUCGAGCACGAAGCUGUUUGGCCAUGGGAGUGACCAGAGGUCAUCGACCAUGGUGUCGAUGGCCAUUGCAAUGCCGAGAUUCGACCCUUGGCUGAGUAGACUCGCAUAAAUCGAUCGACCAGAACGAUGACCCACGUCGGCGAGCAAUCAACCAAAAGGGGACACGAACCGUCAGUUAAAGCUGCCACGAUGAAGCUCGAUUUUGGAGAACAUCGUCGACGAUGGUGGAAGCAAGGCGCAAUCGAUCGACAGCAAUAGACCCAUGGCCCUUGUCAUCUUCUAAACAUCGAUCUCGCCAUGGUCAUUUUUUCCCCUCGACCUUCGGUCUUCUCCCCUCUCUCGUCCUUUUACAAUCGGUUUCCCAUGUGGCCGGCAUUAUUGGAAGCAAGGCACCGGCGAUGAAGAGUGAGAAAGAAGGCGGCCAGGGGCAGGAAAAAGGCAAAAAUGACAACGGCGAGGGCGGCAGCAGCGCAAGGUGGAAGGCGAAACCCUAGGUGAUUUGGGGAAGAAGAUGAGUUUUGACCCAUUAAAUGUUCGGUCGACCCAUUGGGUCAGAUUUGGAUCAAAGUCAAACAUGGGUUUGUUUUGCUAAUGCAUCCAUUAUUGGACACAACAGCACGCCACGUCAGCGUCACGUAUGGAGGGCCACACGCCUGUCUGCUUUAGGACAAAAUUAAAACAAAAGUUAAAGUUGGAUGAUAAAAUUGAAAAAAAAUGUGAAAACUGGAUAAUAGUGAAAAAUGACGCUAAGUUCAGUGUAAUAGUCUAUUUGGCCAUAUUUUUAUGAUGUUUUCGACUGCAGCAAGUCGUUGGAUUGUUCUGUGGAGGUCUACAUGCAGCUUCAACGCUGGCAGUUAUAACUUGGACAUGUUCUCCGCACUGAAUGCUUGGGAAAUGAGAGAGCUCCUCAACUACACAGACAUGUAACACUUUGAUCUUACAUUCUCAGCGACCUAGGUUCUCAGGACUGAAUGCUUGGGAAAUGAGAGAGCUCCAAUCCUACGCAGACAAGUAGCUCUUCGUUCUUACUUUCUCAGCCAACGAGCUCAGUUUCCUUAACACUUAAGGCAUGUAUAUUUUCUUCUACUAAGGAAAGGGUUGUGCUCGGUUGAGGAAGAACUUGUUUAUUCACGCAAUCCACCAGGUGAAGCACGAGAUUUCACGCUCUUACGAGAAAAUUGCUGAGCGACUAAAGUUUAUUCUUAAAGAGGUUGUGAGUUCUAUUAUGCAUUACUCUUCGUCUCUUCCCUCUUCUUAGAGCAAUAUAUUUUUAGGCCGAAUAGACUAUUUAAUCCUGAGCUUAGGGUCAUUUUUGAAUUUUAUCCAGUUCUGACAUUUAGUUCAAUUUGGUCAUCAAAUUUAAACUUUGAUUUCAAUUUUAUCUCCAAGCGGACAGGCGUGUGCCCCAGCAUACGUGGCGCUUAGGUGACGUGCUGAUGUGUCCAUUGUUGGAGACAUUAGCACAAGAAACCCAUCAUCUUCAUCCCUCAGGCCACUAGGUUUUACAUCCUAAAGAGUUGCCGCCGCCUUCCUUCAUCGCGGUCGCCUUUUUGUUCUCUCAUCGAGGGGGUUACGCGAGGCCUCAAUCCUCUGGUCACGCCACGCGAGCCAUGUCGAGCACGAAGCUGUUCGGCCAUGGGAGUGACCAGAGGUCAUCGGCCAUGGCGUCGAUGGCCAUUACAAUGCCGAGAUUCGACCCUUGGCUGAGAAGACUCGCAUAAAUCGGUCGACCAGAACGAUGACCCACGUCGGCGAGCCAUCAACCAAAAGGGGACACGAACCGUCAGUUAGGGCAGCCACGAUGAAGCUCGAUUUUGGCGAACAUCGUCGACGAUGGUGGGAGCAAGGCGCAAUCGAUCGACAGCAAUAGACCCAUGGCCCUUGUCAUCUUCUAAACAUCGAUCUCGCCAUGGUCAUUUUUUCCCCUCGACCUCGGGUCUUCUCCCCUCUCUCGUCCUUUUACAAUCGGCUUCCCAUGUGGCCGCCAUUAAUGGACGCAAGGCACCGGCGAUGAAGAGUGAGAAAGAAGGCGGCCAGGGGCUGG